rnacentral:rRNA from 1 species
UGGGGAAUAUUGCACAAUGGGCGAAAGCCUGAUGCAGCAACGCUGCGUGAGUGAUGAAGGCCUUCGGGUUGUAAAGCUCUGUCUUCUGGGACGAUAAUGACGGUACCAGAGGAGGAAGCCACGGCUAACUACGUGCCAGCAGCCGCGGUAAUACGUAGGUGGCAAGCGUUGUCCGGAUUUACUGGGCGUAAAGGAUGCGUAGGCGGAUACUUAAGUCAGAUGUGAAAAUCCCGGGCUUAACUUGGGAACUGCAUUUGAAACUGGGUAUCUAGAGUGCGGGAGAGGAAAGUGGAAUUCCUAGUGUAGCGGUGAAAUGCGUAGAGAUUAGGAAGAACACCAGUGGCGAAGGCGACUUUCUGGACCGUAACUGACGCUGAGGCAUGAAAGCGUGGGGAGCAAACA